rnacentral:lncRNA from 1 species
GAGCCCGCCCCUCUCCCAGGCUCCUGCUCCAGGGCGAACCCGGGGGUCCUCUCCCAUGGCUCUGUGGGGGACCCCGGGGAGGUCGCCCUGGCACGGGACACUGUCGCGGGGUAGGACCCGAGAGGGUCUGGGGCGGUCAGGCUUCAUCCUGAGCACCGCCCGGGUGCAGGGAGCGCUGGGUGCUGGGCAAUACUUUAAAGACACAAAGUCUCAACAACCAUCUUCCGCUUGACGAGACAGAUCAUUCUAAUUUGAGCAGAAGCUACUAUGUCCUGCCCUUUGAACGCGGCGGCCCGGACAGCUGACAAGGACACACUGUGUAUUUCCAUUCCAAUUCUGGGAGUGCUCUGAGGCCUCUGGGGGAGAAGGACCCAUGAAAUAUUCAAAACAUAAGUGAAUAAAAUAUCUAGGUGC